AAAUAUUGAAGCGAUAUAUUGCAAUUAGUUUCGGCCUAAUCUUUAGGGUGAAAUUCCACCCGUAUUUU
rnacentral:tRNA from 1 species